rnacentral:lncRNA from 1 species
UAUAGGUUCACUUGUAAAAUCCCUCUACUCUUAAAAGAGUGAACGUGCCAUUCUCUGUUCAUUUUUGAAGCAUUUUCGAUUUCCCAUUUUACCCUUCAAUUCUAUUUUACACUAAUUCACAAAUUGAGGGCUUAAUGGUCUUUGCAUAUGAAAAAUAUCUCUAUCAAAUACACUGUGCUAACCCUCAGUUUCUCUGUCAAUUGUAGAAAAGAGAGAAUCCAAUCGAUGACUACAGCACCGAGUCUUCCUCUUCUAUCGGUGACUACAAAGCCGAGUCUACAUCUUCUUGCGAUUCGCCGUGUUUCUUCAUCUUGCUGCAAUUUGUACACCCUAAAAUAGAGAGGUACGUCAAUUCCAGAUUUGCUUCAGUUUAGGGUUUUUUCUUCUCUCAAAAUAAUUGUAGUACCUGUCGAUUUCUCAUUAUUUUGGUUUCAAUUCUUGGAUAUUUUCAACUAAAUAUUCUUUUCCUUCUUCCUGUGUGUACAAUUCUAUUUUUUAGUUGGUGGAAUCUCCCAAAAACCAGAAAAUUCGCACCGAAAUAGGAAACUGGCGACCUGAGGUGUGUGGAUUUAGUAUUUGCUUCAGUUUAGUGUUAUUUCUUGCUUCAUUUUUAACUUUUUCCUUUUUUGAAAUAUUCGUGUGGCCUCGUGUUCACACUACAAAUGAUUCAAACUGGUUAUGCAUUUUUCAUUCUAGAAAGUCUCCUUUCCACACUCACUGUUGAAUUUCAUCUCACACACGCUAGACUUUUGCUUUUGAGUCUCUCCCAAUUCUUUGAUAUCUUAGUUUGCUCUCCAUUUCCUAAGACUUUUACCUUUCCCAAUUUUUUUUCACAUCUUGCCUCCUCAGUUAUCAUUGAUGCCAAUGUAAACUGUAAAUAUGUUCUUUUUCAGCAAUUGCAUCCAUUAAUAUUAUCCUAACUUUGAACUGAAAUUUUCGUUUCUUCUUAUGUGUAUAGUGUCCAAUGUGUUCUCUGGUCGAUUAAAUCGAUGACUACAGUGUUGCAUUUUACCUUAGGUAAGUUGUUCGUGAUUUGUGUUUUUUAUUCCUCACUCUAUCUCCGAUCAGUUUUUGUUGAUUUUCUUCGGUUUCGUGUUGUGAAGUUUACGGGUGUGGUUAAAAGGUAAGCUGUUCUUUUCUCUUUUUGUUUAUAACAUGAAUCCUAUAAAUCUAAAUUUCUUCCAUAAUGUUUAUUUAGAUCUUCUGUGAAAAUUGUUAUCUUGUUCAUGUUCUAAAGUUUUUGUACCUUUUUUACUUCUCUUGGAACAUAAAUUGUAGCACCGUACCUUUUUAAAUUUUGAAAGUUAUAUGUUGUUCUUUAGAGGUUUAAAUUUUUAUUUUUAUUUUUUUUCCCUAGAAUCUGGAUUUGUAGUAAUGACUUGUUUGUUUAUUAAUUAUUAAUUCUAAGUACAAGAGUGUAAUCCAUGAGUUUGAUCCAUAUUUUAAUUAAAGAGACACCAAGGCAUGUUCUAACUCAUUGGAUUUUCUAGAACUGCAGAAUUUAAUUAUUUUACUCUUGUAAUCUUUGCUUAAGAAUUUCAUGACAAAUAUAUGUUCAUCUAUUUUCUGUUCUAUAAACAAUAAUUACAUGUAUUAUACUAUGGGAUACACACAUGGUGAAAAAGAGUUCUUCCAUUUAAACAGAUAGAGUAUAUAUUAUAGCCUAUUACAGAUUCUGUCAACACCAAUGGGUGAAAUUUUAAAUGUAAUAUAAAACAAAUGUCUAAUUCUUGCACCGUGCAAGAAAUUGAAUCAACUACUAAAGGAUUUAACCACUAAAGUGUGUGAAUUUGCGGGAGAUUAUAUUUUUAUUUUAUUUUUAUCUAGAGAGAGAAAAUACUCUUAGGAUUAAAGGAAAGCUAGAAACAUAUGUGGUCACUUCCCUUCCAAAAGAGGAAACGUAUGGUCACUUUUAACAAUUGCUGAAGUAGGUAAGCUUUGACAUGGAAGCAGUUGUCUAAUUUUGAUGGUUCGUGGACUCUUCAAAAUCAAGCCUUUUUCAAUUUUGCGUGCUUGGCACAAACCCUUUAAAAAUGUCCAAGAAAUUGCCGCUCCUUUAUGGGAAAUGAACUAGAGAACAUUAUAAUUUGGUGAAGGGAGAUAUCAAGCUGAGCUGGCGUGGUUAUUCGUAAGUUCUCUUUGUUACUUGUAUAUUGAAUUUGGCCUCUCCCUUUAUGUGUGGAUCUAUGCAAGUCCUAAUUGCUGUGCAUUUGCAGUUCAGCUGCCUCGUUUGCUUUAGACGGAGGUGAUUUUGUUGGGAUUCAUGGAAAUGGUGGUCGAGAUGGCAGAGGCAAUGGUGCGGCUGAGGGUGGAGAGUCAAAGUUGCGUUCCUAGGUGGCUAGAGUUGUCUAUUUUCUGAAUUUUUUUUUCUCGAUUCUUCUUCUUUUUUUCAAUUCAAUUUUGUAGAAAAAUUGAUUAAUAACAUAGGCCUCGAAUUUUGUUUUUUAAAAUUUUCUUAUGAGGAAUCAUUUCUUGAAAGCAUCUUUAGUUGUGUUUUCUUUGCCAUAUAUGAGCUUGUGUUUUGAUAUUUUCAUUAAUUUUUCUAAAUAAAUGAACUCUAGACAUUUUAAUUGUUUAUCGAUAUUGCAUCUGAUAAAUAAAAUGGUUGUGAUUCCUGAUUCAUUUAUUUGCCAAUGUGAUAUCCUGAAUUGGGGACUUUUCCCUCAGUUUUUAGAAGUAAUAAGAAAUUGAAAAAUUUAUAUUUUUAGUUGAGCCGGGAUUGUUAGAUUUUGAAUGUUUAGUUGUUCUAUUUCGGAUUAUUCCUACCAAGAGCAAGCACGAUUAGCGCGAUUCUGUUUAAAUGACUUAUGUAAAGGGAUUCUCAUUUUCAAGGAGGGUCUUUUGUCUAUUUCUCUUAUAUUCAUAUUGAAACUAAAGAAGGAAUUUUGUUAACUUCCUCCACUGCAGUGUGUAUUUUAUUAGGAGCAAUGCCCGGAGUUCUAAUCGGGCAAGAGAUCGCAGUACCAUCUCUGGUGCUAUUUUCUCAAUCGAGGUGUUUUGAGUCUUUAAUGCUUUUAUGGCAAUCACAUGAAUCUGGCAUUGGAUAUAUACUGUAUUUGGUGACCAACAUUCUUUAUCUGAA